AUUGAACGCUGGCGGCAGGCUUAACACAUGCAAGUCGAGCGAGCGGCGGACGGGUGAGUAAUGUAUGGGAAACUGCCUGGUGGCGGGGGAUAACUACUGGAAACGGUAGCUAAUACCGCAUACCAUCAGAUGUGCCCAGAUGGGAUUAGCUAGUAGGUGGGGUAAUGGCUCACCUAGGCGACGAUCCCUAGCUGGUCUGAGAGUAUGACCAGCCACACGGGAACUGAGACACGGCCCAGACUCCUACGGGAGGCAGCAGUGGGGAAUAUUGGACAAGGGGCGCAAGCCUGAUGCAGCCAUGCCGCGUGUGUGAAGAAGGCCUUCGGGUUGUAAAGCACUUUCAGCGAGGAGGCGUUACUCGCAGAAGAAGCACCGGCUAACUCCGUGCCAGCCGCCGCGGUAAUUC
rnacentral:rRNA from 1 species